AGAACUCAACAAAAAAUUAGGUAUCAGUUCUGUCGAACCAGUGCGAAUCAUUUAAAUCCCACCACUGGCUAUGACCCAAGCCAAAGGUUCAGAUUACAAGAUAAUUUCUAUAAAAAGAGGAACAUUCCUGAGAGUUCUGACAAUGGAACAAACUCUCUUAAAUCUAACAGGCUUUCUUU